AUGAUGGCUCCCGAGAGGAACGGGGCUGCUCGGCUGCUCAGAGGAGAGCCCCGUUCUCCUUCCGCAGGGCGCAGAGGAGGCAGCUGGGUAAGGCAGCAAAGAGGUUGCUCAAGCCCAGCUGUUGCUCAACGCUCGCUGCCAACGGCCCACGGCCAGAGCGAUGGAGACGGGAAUUCUGCAACACCUGGGGGGCCACAGGGCCGAACCCAAAGAAGUGCUACCCUCCCGCAGCGUCCUGGAACAAUGAGUCAGUCCAAGUCUGAGCGCCAAGCCUGGGAUAAAGACUCCCCUGCCUUCAGGGCCUCUCUCUGGCACCAAUCUCCAUUCCGGUUCCUCUUGCCCGCAGGGAAGGCUGGCUUCUGCGCCCCGUCCCCCAAUGGGCUGUAUGAGCCCCCCUGCACGGUGCACUGCGAGGCAGACAGCGAGUGUCCUGCAGAUGGAAAGUGCUGCGAAUUUGCCUGCAGCUACACGUGCCGGCCGCCCAUNAAAGAGAAGCCCGGGUCCUGUCCACUCCCCCUGAUGAAGAAACUGCACGCUCCCCUAACGUGUGAAUGUGCCUGCACGGAGGACGCCGACUGCCAGGGGACGGAGAAGUGCUGCGGAACGGGCUGCGGGGGCCAAAUAUGCCGGCUGCCCCUGAAAGAUAAGCCUGGCAAAUGCCCCAGGAAGCAGCGGGUGCGGCCGCCCCGGGGGGAGCCUGCCAAGGACACCUGUGCCCAUGAUGCGGAGUGCCCCGGCCUAGAGAAGUGCUGCUUCACGGGCUUCUCCAUGAACUGCAGCCCUGUUUAGCAAGGUACCCGAGCAGGAAGCAGCAGGCAGGCUGAGAUGUGGGCAGAGCCGCAGCACCGGCUGGAGGGCACUGCUAGGGCCCACUGAAGCUGGGCAGCCCGCGGGCAUCGGCCUUGCUCCCGUCACCUGCCUCGCUUGGCCCCCUGCUCCUGCCAGGAUGCUCAGCAGCAGAGGCGGCGCCCUCUGCUCAAACCGCCUUCGCUGCCCCCGAUCCCCUAAAGAACAGGGAGCCCCCUCCAGUUCUCCUCCCCAGCUGUGAGGGAAGCCUGUGGGGUGAGCUGGGGAGGCUGUGUGGGGUGGUUCUCUAAGGCACAUCCUCCAGCCUCCCCCUGCCCAGAGAGAGGGCUGUGCUCCAGCUGCUGACCCGAUGGCUUCACGCUGAGGUGGCACCUCUGGAACACGGCCAGGGACAAAUGGGCAGGAGCAAAGCUGCCAAACUGCACAGUGGGGAGGGGGCGCUGUAGAGCCAUUGGCAGCCAUUUGGCGGACCAGGGAGAGGACUCUGCAGCUCUAACUGAAGGCUUUGUUUUUAUCUCUUCCAAAGUCCUCCGCAUGCAGCAUCUCAGAAAAGGAGGUCAGUUUUGCCCUUGGGCUGGGAGGUGCACGGUCUCUAGCAGGACAGUGUGAGCUCUUCCACCCGCCUGGGCGCAGCUAAGAGAGCCGUUGCUUCCUGCAGAGCUGCAGGGCCGACCUCCUCGCUUGCUUCUUCCAGGCCUCCUCUGAGCAAAUCCGCCUCUGCCACCUUUCACGCGCAGGCAGCAAGCCUCCCUGGGCCGGAAGGGGAGCUUCCUGAUCUUGCAGCUGGUGCAGACCCAACAGCGCACUGAGGAGCCCAAAGCACAGGGCAGGGCAGAUCCUGGCAGACAAAGGUUCAAAGAACAUAAGAACCUAAGAGGGGACCUGCUGGAUCANGCCACAGCCCAUCUAGUCCAGCAUCCCGUCUCACCCAAUGGCCCACCAGUUGAGUCAGGGCAUCUCAAGCAGAAGACAAAGGCAGAAC
ensembl:lncRNA